rnacentral:rRNA from 1 species
GGUUGAUCCUGCCAGUAGUCAUAUGCUUGUCUCAAAGAUUAAGCCAUGCAUGUCUAAGUAUAAACAAGUUUUAUACUGUGAAACUGCGCACAGCUCAUUAUAUCAGCAAUAAUUUAUUUGAUGGUUACCUUACUACUUGGAUACCCGUGGUAAUUCUAGAGCUAAUACAUGCGUAAAAUCCUGACUCUAAGGGACUGAGAGAACUCCGGUUCUCUUUUUCUCCCGGGGAAGGGAUGUAUUUAUUAGAUACAAGACCAAUAGGGGAAAGGGGAGGGUUUACUCUCUCUUUUUC